GCAUCUCUGGUCUCCAAACAUGUACAGAUCUGGAACAAUUCCUUAGCCCUUAAGAAUACAUACACAUGAUAACACCAUGUCAAUAUUUCUUAUCUGUUAUCAUCUAUUGUGUGUUUUCUGCUUUCUUAGACAAAAAAAAAAACACAGCUGUUUGUCCUGGUCCUGAAGAGCUCAUGACGUACAAAGGUAUUGAGGCAGGUCAAGGGAAUUCCUGCAGCACAACAGACUAACAUGAGAAGAAUGUUUGCUUGUGACUGGACGCAUAUGCUCAAUGCAGAUUUUUGAAAUGGAAUUACUUUUUCUAAAGAAUUCAGCACGCAGCGUGUUCCUAUAACCUGUCAAUGAUGGUCAGCUAUCCUCCUGCGGAUUCCAGUUCAUAUUGCAGCCUGUUAUGGUCCUGGAGGACCAUGCCCCCAUGUGCUGCAGCUGUCAGUGUGUGGAAGAUCAAGAUGUGAAUUGCUGUGCUGCCUAGUGGGCCUGUUAGCCAGCCCAGACACGGUUGCCAGCACAGCCUCCACAGGCACAUUACCCCUUCCAUUUCCAAGAAGGAAGGCUAAUACCGAAGGAUAAAGCUAAGUAUCUCACACAGCCGAUGGAUUACCAUGAUGCUCCAAAGCAUCCAGCUACUAAAUGAGACAAAGCUGUGAGGUUUUCACCAAAGACGAAGGCAUUUAAUAGCAAUCUAAUUCUUACGUUGCAGAGGUGCGGAGGGAACAUCAGCCCGCUGCCUCCUACAUUAAUCCUCUAAGGAGGCAGCCUCAGCCAAGGUAAAACCAAAGACACCUUAAUCUCCAGAGAACCCCAAUCCCACCCGGAGGGCUUAGCAGGGCUUGGAGCCGCCGACCUGCGAGCAGGGCUGCAGGCAGCGCCUGGACCAGCGAGUUACAGCCCAGCCCGGUGCCCCCGCGGCUGCUGCCAUCCCUGAGGCUCUCCUCAGGGCGCAGCCACAGCCGUGCUCCCGGCCUCCCUCCCUCGCUUCCUCCGGACCCAGACCCGGCCCCGCCGCCCGCCAGGUGGCGCCGGGCUGCUGCUGUGACAGCCACUGGUGCCCCCGGUCCGCGACGAGAGGAGGACGGCGGCAGCCCGUCCCGAAAGCCCUUCAGAAAGCGGUGAGGGGAGAAACCCGGCCGUGCCGUACCGCCCCGCGCCGCGUCCGGGGCCCGGGAGCGCCAUUUUGUGAGCGGGGGGCAGCGGGAGGCCGCCCCGGGGGAGGCGAGGUUUUCCCUUGGCGUGAUCCAGCGCCUGUUGUGUGUCUGGAGAAGAGAGGAGCACUAUCAGACGUCCAACUCAAAUGCUACGUCACGACAGAAAGAGGAUUACACAUAGAGAUUACAGCUCUCAGCAUACCACAUAAGUAUCUAACAGAAGCAUUUCAUAUCAGAAUUAGAACUGCUACUGGAGAAUUCAGCGUUCGGGUAAUUCGAUGACUGUCCUGUAAGUCAUGUCAGCUACAACUGGAACACAGCACGGAGAGGAAAUCCAUCAAGUGUCUGAAUGCAUGGAUGUUUGUGUUGCUGAGUUAGCAAGGGCCUAACAAUGGUGCAUGAUGUCACUUCUUAUCUCUAACGCCUUUGCGGUAAUCCACUGCUGCAGUUGCUGUGGGAUCCGGACAUAUGGUAAAAACUCAUAAAGGCAACAGUCCAUAAGGUCAACAGACAUAUGUCUGAAAGGCCAAAAAGUUAAUAUGCUGAGAAGUCUGUAAACCAGGAAGCUGAAAACAAAGUAAGUAUCAGGUGUGUUUCCAAGAAGGGAAAAAGGCACUUUUGAAAGACUGGUAAGAAAUUUAUUUCAGAAAUGUUUUUGUUACUUUUUUUUUUUUUUUAAUUCAGAACAAAGUUUGCAUACAAUUCUUUAGCUGAGUAAAUAUCAUUAAAGAAACAAAACACAACUUCUUCUACCAAGAAGUGUGAGAGAGCUAGAAAUAAUAUGUAUGUCAGUAGUACAUUAACUCUUUCUUAGGCCAGUGUAUACUGUUUCUCACUGACUUCUGGAUACUCCAAAGUGUUUGAUCUUGCAGGAAGCAAGCACAUGUUGAAAACGUCAGUAUUCAGAAGUGCCGAGCCUAUACUGUGUAAAAUACAAAUGUAAACACUAUGUAUUACUUCAGGAAAAUUUUAAUUAUACUAUGCUGUUUCAAACUAAGAUAUAUUUUUAAACAAGAGAUAGGUUGUUAAACCGAGAGGUUGUUAAAUAAUGUUAGAAUCAGAUUAAUGCACAUUCUGGCAGUUACAGAACACAUUCACAAUUAGCAGAUAGUGUGGAUAGCUGGCAAGAUUUGUUGGUUUUCUAUUGCUGCUUGGUUUGCUGGCUUCAUUUUGGAAUUAAUCAUGGAAAAUGCUAUAGAUGUUAUAUUACAGAAGUAAGGAGAACUCUAUAUGGCAGCUUUACUUGUCUCUGACUUCACUUAGCCAUGGUGUCCAAGAUGCCAAAUUGUGCUUCUUUUCCCACUGUCAGCAUGUACUUCUGGUCUGAUGCAGUGUCCAACAGCAUUGAAAUCCUCAGGCCUAUUUGUCUUUACAUUCCCUUUAAUUCUCUUUUGUUACCUUUUUGUCUAAGUCCUCCUCUUUCAUCUUCUUACCUGCAGAAUGCUGCAACCAAUCUUAUCGCUCAGACUAAGAAUAGAAGUAGAUCACCUUGAAAUGACUCCUCGGUCCUUUAAGAAUACAGCUCAAAACCACCUCUUUCUUUCAGAAAUCUAUACGGAUUUUCUGCAGUUUACCUCAUGGAUAUAACCUUUAACUUGCCUCUCCAGCAUCACUUCUUUUUUCUUUUAUCUUUCUGUCUUCCUUUCUUUUUUUUUUCAACCUGCUUCCUCUUUUUUUUUUUUUUUUCCCUUUACAGCCUGUGCAAGCCAUUAAUGUCAUCGUUUUCUUCUCUACAUUUCCUGCCAUCUGUAUCUUGCUAACUUAACACAUCCCACCUUCUUUCAGACUGCAUUGUAUAACAUACCCCUUUCCCCUUGUCAGUGCCUCUGGUUGCUUUCUGCCUUAAUUCUAUCUAUACUAGAAUAAUUUAUUCACUAAAUUACAUUUUAUAUGUUUUCUGCAGUCUAUACCUUUUGUUGUUACUCUCAGUGUAGAGUGUUUUCUCUUUACAGAUGAUGGAUUGAGAGAGAGGCAAAGUAUGUUAAUCACAAGCAAUCAGGGCAUUGAAACCGAGAAACAUUUCACCAAAGUGGCUGACAGAUGGCUCUGCGCUGUAGUCUGUUUAUUUCAUAGCUAUCUCGCUCUUCCGUACUGUCCCUAUCUUCCAAAAGUUGACUGGUCUUGUUACUGGGAGCAGAGGUCAGGUAACAGCUGUGGUGCCCAGUGUUGACACUGUUCCAAAGGUCAUACUUUACAGUCUACAAAUUACUGCUGUCAAUAAGGGAGGAAUGGGUAGGAGUUAGAAAAACUCAAGAAGGCAGUGGAGUGCUGUCCUAACAUCCAAACAAUUUGUUCCUGAUUUUCCCAUGGGAGUUUAGUCUCCUGGUGUUUUCUUGAACAAAUAUUCUGACUAGUACUGUGUCUACCUAGAGAACGUAAAUUUUUCCAGAGAGAUUGUUCCAGGGUAAGCUAUUUUUCUGAACAUUUUAAUCAGAAAAAAAAAAAAAAAAAAAACAGAAUGGCCUUCAAGAAAAUGGAAAGCUGCUUUACAAAAGUAGUAUUUAAAGUAAAAUACCGCGGUAAAUUAAGCUUUUCCUAUAUUUCGUUGCUGUUGUGUGUUACACAGUAUCCUAAUGCUAUAUGCAGUACUGCCUUUAAAAGAAAGAACAUCAGCAGCAGUUUUGCUAUAGAUUUGGUCUAACAAACUCUCAGUUUCCAAAACGUUGAAAAGUCUUUUUGAACAUCUGUACUCCUUUCAUCAUGCAAAUACCCUCCUACUGGUAUAGUUACAGCUAAUUCCCUCUGAAUAAUACUGCUGUAUUCAGGAAUAGUGGCAUGACACUCAAGCUAAUGGUCUAUACAUAUUCUCAGCUUCACAAAGACAUGAGGAAUGAUAGAUUUUUACAGCUGUUGCCAUUGGCAUCAUUUCUGCAGAGUGAACAUGGUAUCUUUUAGUGGUGUUUUUUUAAGAGGACUUGCUUUAGGACUUUGUAUUUGUUUUCUUACAUAAAUUUUGUGUGCAUUGUAGGUAGGUACUAAGGAGAGGUAAGUGAUGAAAAAGGCAUGAUGUGCUAUUUGCUGCAGGAAAGGAGUAUCUCAUUUUCAGUGCUUGUAUCCAUGAAUAGUGAUGUCCUUGUGACUCAGCACUGUUAUACAGGAAAUCACUAUAAAAUUUUAAGGAGCAUAUGUGAAAACAGUUACGUGUACCAGAAGUAAGGCGGUAAUUUGUUUAAAUUUACAACAAAUACAAAGUUUACCUCAUCCCUAAUCUACUGUAAAUUUUAAUUAUAUAAAAUUCAUUUAUAGUCAAAAUCUGUUUGCGAAAGUUAUAGUUCAUUUGGGCAAAGGAGCGGGGUGAUGCAAUACUUCAUAAGGUCGUUAGCUUCUCCAGCAGUUCUUAGAACAAUUUUUAGUAAUUCCAUUCCUUUUCUUAGGAUAGCCUAGCAAAAUAGUUUCAGAAGGAUUAUUUGCCCUUGUUUUUCCUGCAGAUUAUGCAAAUCUUAAAAGAUGUGGAACCUCCCCCAAAGAAUCUAUAAAACACAUGGAGUACUGUCAUCAUUUUAGCUAUGUGACAGUCUGCAGAGCCUUGCUUGUUUCUUUUCAUCUGAGGAGAGAGCUUAUGCUUACCAUACCAGGAAGAGGUGUGUGUAGGUGGGCUUGCACUUUUUAGGCCUUCAGAAGAUACGGGGGGAAGUAUAAUAAUAGCACUUGAAAUUUAGACUUUGUUUAACUUCACACAGCUUUGCAAGAGAAUCAGGUGGCGCAGGGAGAUUUUUUUGGCAAUUUUAUUUGUGUGUGUAAAUCAUACCAGUCUGUCUUUUGGUCAGUAUACUCUGAAGCAAAACUGGGGAUACUUUUGCUGUAAUGUUUUGUAAAAGUGCCCAGUAUGUCUUUUUAUGAGGUAGUGUGGGUAUCUGAAGGAAGAUAUCUGAAGCCAAUCUUCAUAUAGUUAAGUUUCUCUUCAAGAAGCUCAUUUAAAGUGGACUCUGAUAUACUGAACUCCUCUUAAUAAAACAGAGAUUUUUCUUAAACA
rnacentral:lncRNA from 1 species